CCAAAAAACACCUGGAAUUAGGGAAAAUAUGGAUGAGAGGGGGAAAAGGUGUGAGGAUCCUUCCCAAAAAACACCUGGAAUUAGGGAAAAUAUGGNCCAAAAAACACCUGGAAUUAGGGAAAAUAUGGAUGAGAGGGGGAAAAGGUGUGAGGAUCCUUCCCAAAAAUACCUGGAAUUAGGGAAAUAUGGGAUUAGAGAUGGGAAAAGGUGUGAGGAUCCACGGCUGCUCCUUCCCAAAAAACACCUGGAAUUAGGGAAAAUAUGGGAUUAGAGAUGGGAGAGAGACUGUGAGGAUCCACGGCU
rnacentral:lncRNA from 1 species